AUUGAACCUUGGCGGCAGGCUUAACACAUGCAAGUCGAACGAUGAUUAUCUAGCUUGCUAGAUAUGAUUAGUGGCGGACGGGUGAGUAACAUUUAGGAAUCUGCCUAGUAGUGGGGGAUAGCUCGGGGAAACUCGAAUUAAUACCGCAUACGACCUACGGGUGAAAGGGGGCGCAAGCUCUUGCUAUUAGAUGAGCCUAAAUCAGAUUAGCUAGUUGGUGGGGUAAAGGCCCACCAAGGCGACGAUCUGUAACUGGUCUGAGAGGAUGAUCAGUCACACCGGAACUGAGACACGGUCCGGACUCCUACGGGAGGCAGCAGUGGGGAAUAUUGGACAAUGGGGGCAACCCUGAUCCAGCCAUGCCGCGUGUGUGAAGAAGGCCUUUUGGUUGUAAAGCACUUUAAGCAGGGAGGAGAGGCUAAUGGUUAAUACCCAUUAGAUUAGACGUUACCUGCAGAAUAAGCACCGUCUAACUCUGUGCCAGCAGCCGCGGUAAUACAGAGGGUGCGAGCGUUAAUCGGAAUUACUGGGCGUAAAGCGAGUGUAGGUGGCUCAUUAAGUCACAUGUGAAAUCCCCGGGCUUAACCUGGGAACUGCAUGUGAUACUGGUGGUGCUAGAAUAUGUGAGAGGGAAGUAGAAUUCCAGGUGUAGCGGUGAAAUGCGUAGAGAUCUGGAGGAAUACCGAUGGCGAAGGCAGCUUCCUGGCAUAAUAUUGACACUGAGAUUCGAAAGCGUGGGUAGCAAACAGGAUUAGAUACCCUGGUAGUCCACGCCGUAAACGAUGUCUACUAGCCGUUGGGGUCCUUGAGACUUUAGUGGCGCAGUUAACGCGAUAAGUAGACCGCCUGGGGAGUACGGCCGCAAGGUUAAAACUCAAAUGAAUUGACGGGGGCCCGCACAAGCGGUGGAGCAUGUGGUUUAAUUCGAUGCAACGCGAAGAACCUUACCUGGUCUUGACAUAGUGAGAAUCCUGUAGAGAUGCGGGAGUGCCUUCGGGAAUUCACAUACAGGUGCUGCAUGGCUGUCGUCAGCUCGUGUCGUGAGAUGUUGGGCUAAGUCCCGCAACGAGCGCAACCCUUUUCCUUAUUUGCCAGCGGGUUAAGCCGGGAACUUUAAGGAUACUGCCAGUGACAAACUGGAGGAAGGCGGGGACGACGUCAAGUCAUCAUGGCCCUUACGACCAGGGCUACACACGUGCUACAAUGGUAGGUACAGAGGGUUGCUACACAGCGAUGUGAUGCUAAUCUCAAAAAGCCUAUCGUAGUCCGGAUUGGAGUCUGCAACUCGACUCCAUGAAGUCGGAAUCGCUAGUAAUCGCAGAUCAGAAUGCUGCGGUGAAUACGUUCCCGGGCCU
rnacentral:rRNA from 1 species